GAAGAUCAGCCCUGAGCUAACAUCCAUGCUAAUCCUCCUCUUUUUGCUGAGGAAGACUGGCUCUGAGCUGAGGAAGACUCCUCUGAGGAGGAGCCAAUCCUCCUCCUUUUUUUUUUUUCCUCCCCCGGAAAGCCCCAGUAGAUAGUUGUAUGUCAUAGUUGCACAUCCUUCUGGUUGCUGUAUGUGGGGGGCAGCCUCAGCAUGGCCAGAGAAGCGGUGUGUUGGUGUGCGCCAGGAUCCGAACCCCAGGCUGCCAGCAGCGGAGGGCGCGCACUUAACUGCUAAGCCACGAGCUGGCCCCAGGGCUGUCUUUCAAGUAAUUCAAGAUUUGAUACCAACCAGGCCAAUCUUCUGUGAAUAAUCCCUGGUUACUGUACCUUAGUGAUACAGAAUUAUUUACUUAAUUUUUAAAUAUGUAAUAAGGACCCACAAACUCACCAUCCAAACAAGAGUCAGCCUCCCCCAUUGGAAGUAACCAUUGUAGUGAAUCCUCUGUUCACCAUUCCUUUGCUUUGGUCUCUUUUUUAUAUCUAAUUCCAUAAAAAUACGGGGGAAGCCUAUUGCUGAGCAUUCGUUGGGCUUGGGACAAUACUAAGAAGAUCCUACUGGCUGAGGAGACAGUGUUACAUCCAAAUAAUUAAACUUAAUGGGGUGCUAGAAUGUAGCGCAUGCAAACACCCAUGGGACCAGAAAUGGAAAGGGAAGAUCACACAGAGAAACCUCUUAACUUGAAGCAUGAGUCAAUUUAUGAGAAAAAGAGAAUUCUAGGAGAGGAAGCAGCACAUGCAAAGAAAAGAAAGAAUAACUGUGCCCUGUUCCUUAGCGACUCUCAAAUCUGAGGCCAUCUGUGCUGUGUGAAAGGACGAUGUAAAGAAGGGAGCAUUGGAGUGAGCGAGGAGGCCUGGCUCCAUCCCUGGUGAGCAGUGUGAUAUCUGCAGACACUUCCCCUCCCUGCGCUUCAGUGUCCUUGUCUCAGAAGAAGUGGUUGGACAGAUGGCUUUCCAGCUGUUCCAGUUUACAGCCUCCUGAAGCCGGAGGCUGCCCUGCCCCUGCUCCUGCCCAGGGCGAAGAACAAUAGAAUCGUUCUUCUUUCGCCAGGACUACGAGUCUCCCCAGUGUGGCGUCCAGUGAUGGUUUCUGUGGUUUCUGCCUGUGCCUUCCCCCUGUCCUUGGGGUCAUGCUUCAUUCUCUCUGCAGAAAGAGUGGAAGACUGGAGAGCAUGCCCCAGUCACUGACUCAACCCAGAGACAGCAAAGAGAGGGCUAGCACAGGGAAUGGAGCACUGGCUUUUUCAUGAACAUUGUGUACAAGGAAACUAUAUAAAGGACUUAAAUAUCCUUGGAAGAGAUCUUUCAAAAACUAUAAUUGACAACUCACCAGGAGCCUCUGAGUAUCAGGUGGGAAGGGGGUUGGUAAACAAACUCAGAUUGAAAAAAUACAGUGAGAGCAAAUGCUGCCCAACAUGAUGUGAUGGGAGAGGAACAGAUUUUCACUGGUGGAAUUUCCCUCUUUAGGGUCAUCUUUUAGAAUUAGAAAUGCCAAACUGGUAUACUCCUUUUGGAAAAUUCUCUUUUAAAUGAAGCAUGACGUAAUUGAAGAAAAAUCUGAGUAUAAAUCUGAAUAAAAAGGAACGAUAAAAUACAUGUCAUUUAAUAGCAUUCUUACCAGCUGUUACGUUAGUAAUUUAAUCAUAAACAUGUUGGAGAAUUAUGAAUGGCUUCACAAUGUUCUUCUGGUCUGUUUGAUUUGACAUUCUGAAAUAUUUUCUUAGACUAUUUUGUCAAUAUAUUUGUACCCUUUUUGUCAAUGUUUUUUUGAAAUAUAACUAGAGAUGAGCCAUCCUUCCAAGAUAUAUUUUACAUUAUGAAUGUGUUCAUGUGAUGUGUCUGUGAUUUGUUUCACAAUAAAUCAGUGCAGAAUGGGGAUCGUGGAAAGUGGGUUGGGUAUAGAUCAAACAAAAUUUGCCCUUAACUUCUGUAUGUGUUUCAAAAUGCCCCAAAUAAAAAGAAAAAUGGGAAAACUCCUUAUGGUAUUGAAAUGUGUUCAGUAUUGGACACUAAUUUUAUUUGCUUGCAUUUUGAAAUAAGUUUUUAAGAAUUUGUCCUUGGUUCGUAGAUAAAAUCAUUUCAAUUAUCCUUCAUCUCAAACAUAACGUUUGGCCUAAAUGUUAAAGAUAUUUUAUCCUAGAGAUUAUUUAUUAUGAAACAAACAUAGUUUGCGUGCUUGUUUUCAGACUCCUCUUCAAUGAAAUACCAUUGAGUCAACUUGUUAUGUUCCUAGUAUGUUUCAGGUUAUCAUGCUAACUGUUGGGAAUGAGAUUUAUUUUAUAUAUCAUAAGAUUCACCCAUUUCAAGUGUGCAAUUCAAUGAUUUUUACCAAAUGGUGUAACCAUCACUAUAAAUCAUUUUUAAAACAUUUUCAUGCCCCCUGUAAGAUCCCUAAUGUCCAUUUAGAGUUAAUCCCCAUUCCCACUCCCAGCCCUAGGCAAUUGCUCAUCCACUUUCCAUCUCUAUAUAUUUACCUUUUGUAAAUAAUUCAUGUAAAUGGAGUCACAUCAUGUGUAGUCUCUCUUAGCAUGAUGUUUUUAACUGUGGUUUAUCCAUGGUUUAUCCUUGGCAUACCACGUUUUAGUAGUUUGUUCCUUUUCACCAUCGAAUAGUAUCUUGUAUGGAUCGACCACAUUUUGUCUAUUCAGUCACUAGUUCAUAGAUAUUUAUGCUGUUUCCAGUUUGUUAUGAAUGCAGCUGCUAUGAACAUUCACAGGCAAGUCUUUGUAUGGAUGUGUGUUUUCAUUUCUCUUAGGCAGACACCUGGAAGUGGGAUUGCUGGAGGUAUGGUAGUUUUAUGUUUAACUUUUUGAGAAACCACCAAACCGAUUCCAGUGACUACACCAUUUUAUGUAACCACCGUCGAUACGUAAGGGUUCCCGUUCCUCCACAUCU